AUUGAACGCUGGCGGCAGGCCUAACACAUGCAAGUCGGGCGGAUGAAGGGAGCUUGCUCCUGGAUUCAGCGGCGGACGGGUGAGUAAUGCCUAGGAAUCUGCCUGGUAGUGGGGGAUAACGUCCGGAAACGGGCGCUAAUACCGCAUACGUCCUGAGGGAGAAAGUGGGGGAUCUUCGGACCUCACGCUAUCAGAUGAGCCUAGGUCGGAUUAGCUAGUUGGUGGGGUAAAGGCCUACCAAGGCGACGACCCGUAACUGGUCUGAGAGGAUGAUCAGUCACACUGGAACUGAGACACGGUCCAGACCCCUACGGGAGGCAGCAGUGGGGAAUAUUGGACAAAGGGCGAAAGCCUGAUCCAGCCAUGCCGCGUGUGUGAAGAAGGUCUUCGGAUUGUAAAGCACUUUAAGUUGGGAGGAAGGGCAGUAAGUUAAUACCUUGCUGUUUUGACGUUACCAACAGAAUAAGCACCGGCUAACUUCGUG
rnacentral:rRNA from 1 species